CGUACCCUAUUCUGGCCUUGGAUACGGGUAAGGAGUAUUACAUACUAAUAAUUUGAUGCGUGAUUUGGGGGAUUCUAAUAUGGUUUCCUCACCACUGUUUGAGGGAAUUAGCACUAAUUUGGGGGAUUUUAUGAGUCAAUUGUUGCAGAUGUUGGGAUGGACUCUGGAAUUGGGGAAAGUCAAUUUGGAAAAUUAGGCUAUAUGGAAGGUAAAAGUGCGAAUGCUAAGAAAGUUCGAUGGAAGAGAUAGUGAGAAAGGUGAUGGAAUAAGAGGAAGGGAGCAUUAAGGAAAAAAGGAAGUUAGGUUCGAAAAAGGACGAUAAAAAUGAUGAACUUCUAUCUGAUGGGGUUUGUAACAAAAAAAUAAAAUUCAAGAAUGAAGACAUUGUAUUGUCG
rnacentral:lncRNA from 1 species